rnacentral:rRNA from 1 species
UUGAACGCUGGCGGCAGGCCUAACACAUGCAAGUCGAACGGUAACAGGAAGCAGCUUGCUGCUUCGCUGACGAGUGGCGGACGGGUGAGUAAUGUCUGGGAAACUGCCUGAUGGAGGGGGAUAACUACUGGAAACGGUAGCUAAUACCGCAUAACGUCGCAAGACCAAAGAGGGGGACCUUCGGGCCUCUUGCCAUCGGAUGUGCCCAGAUGGGAUUAGCUAGUAGGUGGGGUAACGGCUCACCUAGGCGACGAUCCCUAGCUGGUCUGAGAGGAUGACCAGCCACACUGGAACUGAGACACGGUCCAGACUCCUACGGGAGGCAGCAGUGGGGAAUAUUGCACAAUGGGCGCAAGCCUGAUGCAGCCAUGCCGCGUGUAUGAAGAAGGCCUUCGGGUUGUAAAGUACUUUCAGCGGGGAGGAAGGGAGUAAAGUUAAUACCUUUGCUCAUUGACGUUACCCGCAGAAGAAGCACCGGCUAACUCCGUGCCAGCAGCCGCGGUAAUACGGAGGGUGCAAGCGUUAAUCGGAAUUACUGGGCGUAAAGCGCACGCAGGCGGUUUGUUAAGUCAGAUGUGAAAUCCCCGGGCUCAACCUGGGAACUGCAUCUGAUACUGGCAAGCUUGAGUCUCGUAGAGGGGGGUAGAAUUCCAGGUGUAGCGGUGAAAUGCGUAGAGAUCUGGAGGAAUACCGGUGGCGAAGGCGGCCCCCUGGACGAAGACUGACGCUCAGGUGCGAAAGCGUGGGGAGCAAACAGGAUUAGAUACCCUAGUAGUCCACGCCGUAAACGAUGUCGACUUGGAGGUUGUGCCCUUGAGGCGUGGCUUCCGGAGCUAACGCGUUAAGUCGACCGCCUGGGGAGUACGGCCGCAAGGUUAAAACUCAAAUGAAUUGACGGGGGCCCGCACAAGCGGUGGAGCAUGUGGUUUAAUUCGAUGCAACGCGAAGAACCUUACCUGGUCUUGACAUCCACGGAAGUUUUCAGAGAUGAGAAUGUGCCUUCGGGAACCGUGAGACAGGUGCUGCAUGGCUGUCGUCAGCUCGUGUUGUGAAAUGUUGGGUUAAGUCCCGCAACGAGCGCAACCCUUAUCCUUUGUUGCCAGCGGUCCGGCCGGGAACUCAAAGGAGACUGCCAGUGAUAAACUGGAGGAAGGUGGGGAUGACGUCAAGUCAUCAUGGCCCUUACGACCAGGGCUACACACGUGCUACAAUGGCGCAUACAAAGAGAAGCGACCUCGCGAGAGCAAGCGGACCUCAUAAAGUGCGUCGUAGUCCGGAUUGGAGUCUGCAACUCGACUCCAUGAAGUCGGAAUCGCUAGUAAUCGUGGAUCAGAAUGCCACGGUGAAUACGUUCCCGGGCCUUGUACACACCGCCCGUCACACCAUGGGAGUGGGUUGCAAAAGAAGUAGGUAGCUUAACCUUCGGGAGGGCGCUUACCACUUUGUGAUUCAUGACUGGGGUG